rnacentral:rRNA from 1 species
GCUUAGCCCUAAACUCAGAUAUUCAACAUACAAGAAUACUCGCCAGAGAACUACGAGCAAAACGCUUAAAACUCAAAGGACUUGGCGGUACCUCAAACCCCCCUAGAGGAGCCUGUUCUAUAAUCGAUAAUCCACGAUAUACCUCACCAUCUCUUGCCAAUCCCGCCUAUAUACCACCGUCACCAGCCUACCCCAUGAGGGAUUUAAAAGUAAGCAAAAUAACUAAAAACAGCUAACAAGUCAGGUCAAGGUGUAGCUAACUGAGAUGGAAGAAAUGGGCUACAUUUUCUACACUAGAAAUCAAUUUACGGAAGGAAACUAUGAAAUCAGUCCUACAAGUAGGAUUUAGCAGUAAACCUGGAUCAGAAUGCCUAAUUUAAGCCGGUCCUGAGGUGCGC